rnacentral:tRNA from 1 species
UCCCUGGUAGCUCAGAUGGUAAAGCGUCUGCCUGCAAUGCGGGAGACCCGGGUUCGAUUCCUGGGUUGGGAA